UACAGAGGGGGCAAGCGUUGUUCGGAAUUACUGGGCGUAAAGGGCGCGUAGGCGGCCUGCUAAGUUCGAACGUGAAAUCCCGUGGGCUCAACCCAGGAACUGCGUCCGAUACUGGUUGGCUUGAAUCCGGGAGAGGGAUGUGGAAUUCCAGGUGUAGCGGUGAAAUGCGUAGAUAUCGUGGAGGAACACCGUGGCGAAGGCGACAUCCUGGACCGGUAUUGACGCUGAGGCGCGAAAGCCAGGGAGCAACGGGG
rnacentral:rRNA from 1 species